CUAUACAUGCAAGUCGAGCGAAUGACGAAGAAGCUUGCUUCUUCUGAUUUAGCGGCGGACGGGUGAGUAACACGUGGGCAACCUGCCCUGUAGAUUGGGAUAACUCCGGGAAACCGGGGCUAAUACCGAAUAAUCCAUUUCCUCACAUGGGGAGAUGUUAAAAGACGGCAUCUCGCUGUCACUACAGGAUGGGCCCGCGGCGCAUUAGCUAGUUGGUGAGGUAACGGCUCACCAAGGCGACGAUGCGUAGCCGACCUGAGAGGGUGAUCGGCCACACUGGGACUGAGACACGGCCCAGACUCCUACGGGAGGCAGCAGUAGGGAAUCUUCCACAAUGGACGAAAGUCUGAUGGAGCAAUGCCGCGUGAGUGAAGAAGGUUUUCGGAUCGUAAAACUCUGUUGUGAGGGAAGAACAAGUACGAGAGUAACUGCUCGUACCUUGACGGUACCUCAUUAGAAAGCCACGGCUAACUACGUGCCAGCAGCCGCGGUAAUACGUAGGUGGCAAGCGUUGUCCGGAAUUAUUGGGCGUAAAGCGCGCGCAGGCGGUCCUUUAAGUCUGAUGUGAAAUCCCACGGCUCAACCGUGGAAGGUCAUUGGAAACUGGGGGACUUGAGUACAGAAGAGGAAAGCGGAAUUCCAAGUGUAGCGGUGAAAUGCGUAGAGAUUUGGAGGAACACCAGUGGCGAAGGCGGCUUUCUGGUCUGUAACUGACGCUGAGGCGCGAAAGCGUGGG
rnacentral:rRNA from 1 species